GAGAUGAGUGAUAAUGAAAUCUAUUUUUGUUAUAUUGAUAAAAUUACCUUCAAUUUUUUUAUAAUCCUAAAUUGUCCUUAAUAAAUAUUAUAUGUUAAUUUGUUAUUUUAUUAGAAUUUCUCGAUAUUGUUUUUAACGACAACUUUAUUAUUUUUAUUAUUAUUAUGAUUCAACUUUAUUUAUUUUUUUCAUGUGUUUUUUUAUUCACUUUUAUUUAUUAUUUUGUUUGUAAUAACCUAACUUUUUUAUAAGUUGUUACGUUAUAUUACACAUCGAUAUAUAAUUGUAGU
rnacentral:lncRNA from 1 species